CCGCCCAACCGCCGCCCGGCGCGCAGGCAGCCCAACCGCCGUCCCGGCCCAACCAACGCGGGAGGGGAGAGAGGAGCGCACGGCCGGCGGGGCACGCGAGCCACUCGGGGGGCACGGGGCAGGUUGCGGGCCGGGGAGUCGAGGCGGGCGGCGCCGAAGCCCACGCUGGACGCGGGGCCCGGACGGCUUCCCGGAGGGGACUCUCCCCUCUCGGCGUAGAAGGUACUUACACGACGUUGGGUGAGGGGAGCUGGAAGAUCAGCGGGUCCCGGAUCCUCUCUCCCUAGGGGUGAUGGAAAUCAAACCCCCCCGCCGCCUCCAGGUGGUUCUUCCCGCCGCAGAGUGGGAGCAGCAUAAAAGGCGGGGCCUUAUUAGCAUAAUCUGCCUGGCAACCUGAUCUCAACGUUAUGUGAUUGGCUAAACUCUGAAAGUCCCAUGCUGUUCCUAGAGACCAGGAACGCUGGGCCGAACUGACAAGCCCAGAUUUAAGAGUCAUGACGAAAAUCCUGGGACGCUAAUUCAGUCUGCAGAGAAGCCAAAAGGAGAUUCACACAAUGGCCCAAUGACUGAAGGCCUCUUUAUUUGGUGCUCUGCAGUUCAUGUAAAACCCAAUAGAAGAGCGGGUCUCUGGCGGUGCUUGCCUGCGUUUGUACUCUAAGCCAAUCAGAAAGCCCCACUCUUUGCAUUCAGGGUCAAG
rnacentral:lncRNA from 1 species